CCUUCGAUAGCUCAGUUGGUAGAGCGGAGGACUGUGGCGGUGGGGCCCAGGCAUCCUUAGGUCGCUGGUUCAGAUCCGGCUCGAAGGA
rnacentral:tRNA from 1 species